rnacentral:rRNA from 1 species
GACGAACGCUGGCGGCGUGCUUAACACAUGCAAGUCGAACGAAGCGGCUUACGCUUGCUGGCGUACACGAGUGGCGAACGGGUGAGUAACACGUGGGUGACAUGCCCCGCACUUCGGGCUAAGACAGGGGAACAAGGGCUAAUAACGGCUACGAAUGCACCGUGAGGGCGCGGUGGAACGUCUUUUGGUGUGGGAUAGGCCCGCGGCAUAUCAGCGUGUCUGUGUGGUAAGGCCGUAUCAAGGCGGCGCGGCGUAGCCUGGCAGAGAGGGUUGGCGGCCCCAUUGGGACUGAGACACGGCCCAGACUACUACGGGACGCAGCGGUGGGGAAUAGUGCACAAUGGGCGGAAGCCUGAUGUAGCGACGCCGCGCGGGGGAUGACAGCCAUCGGUUUGGAAACUCCUGUCACCAUCGCCGAAAGGUUACUGACGGUAGCUGAAUAAGAAGCACCGGCUAACUACGUG